rnacentral:rRNA from 1 species
CUGGCUCAGGAUGAACGCUGGCGGCGUGCUUAACACAUGCAAGUCGAACGAACCUUCGGGUUAGUGGCGGACGGGUGAGUAACGCGUGAGAAUCUGCCCUCAGGAGGGGGAUAACGGCUGGAGACGGCCGCUAAUACCCCAUAUGCCGAGAGGUGAAAUGAAUUUCGCCUGAGGAUGAGCUCGCGUCUGAUUAGCUAGUUGGUGGGGUAAGAGCCUACCAAGGCAUCGAUCAGUAGCUGGUCUGAGAGGAUGAUCAGCCACACUGGGACUGAGACACGGCCCAGACUCCUACGGGAGGCAGCAGUGGGGAAUUUUCCGCAAUGGGCGAAAGCCUGACGGAGCAACGCCGCGUGAGGGAUGAAGGCCUCUGGGCUGUAAACCUCUUUUAUCAAGGAAGAAGAUCUGACGGUACUUGAUGAAUAAGCCACGGCUAAUUCCGUGCCAGCAGCCGCGGUAAUACGGGAGUGGCAAGCGUUAUCCGGAAUUAUUGGGCGUAAAGCGUCCGCAGGCGGCCUGAUAAGUCUGUUGUCAAAGCGUGGAGCUUAACUCCAUUUCGGCAAUGGAAACUGUGAGGCUUGAGUGUGGUAGGGGCAGAGGGAAUUCCCGGUGUAGCGGUGAAAUGCGUAGAUAUCGGGAAGAACACCAGUGGCGAAGGCGCUCUGCUGGGCCAUAACUGACGCUCAUGGACGAAAGCCAGGGGAGCGAAAGGGAUUAGAUACCCCUGUAGUCCUGGCCGUAAACGAUGAACACUAGGUGUCGGGGGAAUCGACCCCCUCGGUGUCGUAGCCAACGCGUUAAGUGUUCCGCCUGGGGAGUACGCACGCAAGUGUGAAACUCAAAGGAAUUGACGGGGGCCCGCACAAGCGGUGGAGUAUGUGGUUUAAUUCGAUGCAACGCGAAGAACCUUACCAGGGUUUGACAUCCUGCGAAUCCCUUGGAAACUAGGGAGUGCCUUCGGGAGCGCAGAGACAGGUGGUGCAUGGCUGUCGUCAGCUCGUGUCGUGAGAUGUUGGGUUAAGUCCCGCAACGAGCGCAACCCACGUCUUUAGUUGCCAGCAUUGAGUUGGGCACUCUAGAGAGACCGCCGGUGAUAAACCGGAGGAAGGUGUGGAUGACGUCAAGUCAUCAUGCCCCUUACAUCCUGGGCUACACACGUACUACAAUGCUACGGACAAAGGGCAGCAAACUCGCGAGAGCUAGCAAAUCCCAUAAACCGUGGCUCAGUUCAGAUCGUAGGCUGCAACUCGCCUACGUGAAGGAGGAAUCGCUAGUAAUCGCAGGUCAGCAUACUGCGGUGAAUACGUUCCCGGGCCUUGUACACACCGCCCGUCACACCAUGGAAGUUGGCCACGCCCGAAGCCGUUACUCCAACCCUUGUGGAGGAGGACGUCGAAGGUGGGGCUGAUGACUGGGGUGAAGUCGUAACAAGGUA